rnacentral:lncRNA from 1 species
CAAAAUCCCCAUCCAAAUAUUUGAACCCUCACCAAUCACACAUUCAUCGGCUGAUUUGCGAGAACGGACGAUUACGAAGGCACGAUGACUUUGAAAUUUUCUCUCAGCCUCUCCUUGUCUCAUUCUCAUAUCUGUGAGCUCUCGAUAUGGUGCCGCCUGCAUCGUCUUUCUUCCAUCGAUACCAUCAGUGGAAGCUAAAUCCCAAUUUAUCAAAUCAUGAUUACUUUAGUCUCAAAUUAUACCUCAAUGUCCUCUCUCGUCCCUAUUGGUUGCCAUUGCUACGGAAGUACUCAUUUUGUUUAUAUAUAUAUAUAUAUAUAUAUUUUAAGAUGGAGAAUCUGAUUUGGGGUGAGCAGUGGAGCCGGAGGGUCUUGUGCUGGGUAAUGGGUGGUGGGAUUAUUUUCAGAUUUUGAUAGGAUUAGGGAAUCACGUUAUGGGAUUAUGAUUUAUUGCUCAAAUAUUGAAUUGGAUUCUGACAUUAGAAUUUAUUUUUAACAUAUUCUAGUUCCUUUUAAAUAUUGAAUGGGAAUCCAAAAUGGGAUUAGGAUUUAGGAUUAUAUUCAAUCUGUGUUUCUAACUCAAAAGCUAAAUAUAAAGAACUACUUUGGUAAAUUUGAGUGUUUCCUUCUAAAUCUUCCUACGGUUUUAAGAAAUUUUGCGUAGGUGAACGAAAAUUUCUAAUUUCCCUUUUGCUAGAACAAUAUGUAUAAUGCUUAGCCAUAUAUGCUAGCUAGUACAUAAAUUCCCCUUUUGCUGCAACAAACAGAAAUUUUAUUGUUUGGCACGAUCAAUAAACAACAAAAGAUAGGGACUGCUGCAAGUUAACAAUUACCUCAUUAAAUGGCCAUAAAUUACAGCCCGUGCAUGAGAUAGAUUCUUCCCUUACUAAAAUACUUUUGAGGUCUGAUAAAUUUAUUUUUACAAUUUACAAAUUUGGUUGUUUAAACAUGGCUUGUUAGUUGUUGGCUCAAAAUCGAGAAGUAGCUGCCCUUGCUUUACUUGAGUCAGAUAUUAUGCUACAACUCAAGCUCCCUAAUGGCCUCCAAUUUCUUGCUUGCUUCUCUAUUUAAGUUGGAAUGAGACUUUUCGUGAGUUUCUUUUCUUCAUUCUAAGUUCACAAGUUGUGAAGAAAUCAAGUUCAUUUCUUUCCCCACUUAAAUUCCCCACGGAAUGCACAUUCUACAAAAGUCUUGCGCAUGGCGAACCACCAUUCGUGAAGGUAAUUGAUAAUCCUCAUUUUUUUUUUUUUUUUUUUGCAUAUCUACUUUGAGUUACUAAUUCUUUGAAGAUUAUACUUUACAAAUGCAGGACUUGCAAUUCUUUAGAUAUUGUUACUAAUUCUUUGGCUUACUACUGGAUUACUACAUAAAAAAGGACUUGCAAUUGUUGAGAGCAAUGAGGGUUGGGGUGAGCAGCACGACAUUAAAGCUUGGUACAAGGGUAUCCUGAAAUAUAAUUUCAAAAUGAAUUAGAUAAAGAGAAGUUGGUUAUGUUUUUCAAUAGCGUGCUUGCAUUUUUUACAUUAUGUAUUCAGGUGUAUAGGAGAAUAUUGUCAUGCUUCACGUUAUCUAUUCAAAAAUUUGUAAUGAAAUUAUCA